rnacentral:rRNA from 1 species
AACGUAGGGGGCGAGCGUUAUCCGGAAUUACUGGGCGUAAAGCGUGUGCAGGCGGGCUGGCAAGUGGGGUAUGAAAUAUCCCGGCUUAACCGGGAGGGGUUAUGCCAGACUGUCAGUCUUGAGUGCGAGAGAGGAGCGUGGAAUUCCUGGUGUAGCGGUGAAAUGCGCAGAUAUCAGGAGGAACACCAGCGGCGAAGGCGGCGCUCUGGGCCGGAACUGACGCUGAGGAGCGAAAGCGUGGGUAGCAAACAGG